GACGAACGCUGGCGGCGUGCCUAACACAUGCAAGUCGAACGGGGUGAUUCCUUCGGGGAUCACUUAGUGGCGAACGGGUGAGUAACGCGUGAGGAACCUGCCUUUCAGUGGGGGACAACAGUUGGAAACGACUGCUAAUACCGCAUGAUGUAUUUUGGGGGCAUCCCUGAGAUACCAAAGAUUUAUUGCUGAAAGAUGGCCUCGCGUCUGAUUAGCUAGUUGGUGGGGUAACGGCCUACCAAGGCGACGAUCAGUAGCCGGUCUGAGAGGAUGAACGGCCACAUUGGGACUGAGACACGGCCCAGACUCCUACGGGAGGCAGCAGUGGGGAAUAUUGCACAAUGGGGGAAACCCUGAUGCAGCGACGCCGCGUGAAGGACGAAGGGUCUUCGGAUCGUAAACUUUUGUCUUCAGGGACGAUAAUGACGGUACCUGAGGAGGAAGCCACGGCUAACUACGUG
rnacentral:rRNA from 1 species